rnacentral:rRNA from 1 species
GAUGAACGCUAGCGGCAGGCCUAAUACAUGCAAGUCGAACGGUGUCUUCGGACAUAGUGGCGCACGGGUGCGUAACACGUAUGCAACCUACCUUACAUUGGGGGAUAGCCUUUCGAAAGGGAGAUUAAUACCGCAUAAGACAGUAGCUGGGCAUCCAGCAGCUGUAAAAGAUUUAUCGAUGUAAGCUGGGCAUGCGUCCAAUUAGCUAGUGGGUGAGGUAACGGCUCACCAAGGCAAUGAUUGGUAGGGGAACUGAGAGGUCAAUCCCCCACACUGGCACUGAGAUACGGGCCAGACUCCUACGGGAGGCAGCAGUAGGGAAUAUUGGGCAAUGGACGCAAGUCUGACCCAGCCAUGCCGCGUGCAGGAUGAAGGCGUUAUGCGUUGUAAACUGCUUUUAUACAGGAAGAAACGACUCUUGCGAGAGGCAUUGACGGUACUGUAUGAAUAAGCACCGGCUAACUCCGUGCCAGCCGCCGCCGUAAGAC